rnacentral:rRNA from 1 species
UACAGAGGUCCCGAGCGUUAGGCGGAAUCACUGGGCUUAAAGCGUGUGUAGGCGGGUUUGUAAGUACCUUGUGAAAUCCCACGGCUCAACCGUGGAACUGCUUGGUAUACUGCUUAUCUUGGGCCACUUAGGGGUUACCGGAACAAACGGUGGAGCGGUGAAAUGCGUAGAUAUCGUUUGGAACGCCAAUGGUGAAAACAGGUAACUGGGAGUGUGCCGACGCUGAGACACGAAAGCCAGGGGAGCGAACGGG